GAGGCAGCAGUGGGGAAUUUUGGACAAUGGGGGCAACCCUGAUCCAGCAAUGCCGCGUGUGUGAAGAAGGCCUUCGGGUUGUGAAGCACUUUUGUCCGGAAAGAAGUCGCACUUACUAAUAUUAGGUGUGGAUGACGGUACCGGAAGAAUAAGGACCGGCUAACUACGUGCCAGCAGCCGCGGUAAUACGUAGGGUCCAAGCGUUAAUCGGAAUUACUGGGCGUAAAGCGUGCGCAGGCGGUUGUGCAAGACCGAUGUGAAAUCCCCGGGCUUAACCUGGGAAUUGCAUUGGUGACUGCACGGCUAGAGUGUGUCAGAGGGGGGUAGAAUUCCACGUGUAGCAGUGAAAUGCGUAGAGAUGUGGAGGAAUACCGAUGGCGAAGGCAGCCCCCUGGGAUAACACUGACGCUCAUGCACGAAAGCGUGGGGAGCAAACAGGAUUAGAUACCCUGGUAGUCCACGCCCUAAACGAUGUCAACUAGUUGUUGGGGAUUCAUUUCCUUAGUGACGUAGCUAACGCGUGAAGCUGACCGCCUGGGGA
rnacentral:rRNA from 1 species